CUUUUUCCGAGCACAAUCAACAUUGGUGGAUUUCUAAGGCAAGGGUCCAGCCCCCCUGGUUGCUGAUACAGGUGCCAAAAAAAGGAGAAGUUUAGCCAAGCGACUAAAUGAUAAGGCUCGGAGAAAAACCAGAGUAAAUAUAGGUAACAAUCUUAAUCGCUCGAGAGAAGUUAUGGCCCUAAAUGGGCUGAAGUCUGAUGCAGAGAUGGCCUGUUUUUUGCUUGACAGUUAGGCCCCACCACAAUCCACUCCAAGGAAAGUGUUACCUCUGCCUGCUUUAUCAAGCAUCAGAGUGGCAUCCAGCAUCACACUGUCAGAUAGUCUCCCAGUCACUGCCGCUGAAAAACAACCCCACAGCAUGAUGCUGCCACCACCAUGCUUCACCGAAGGGAUGGUGCCAGGAUUCCACCAGACAUGAUGCUUG